UCAGUCGGCUGGGCUCAUCCUCCGGUCCUCUCCUCUCGGGCUUCCUCCACGGCGCCCUCCCGGCUCCUCCCUGCUCCUCGCCUCACCACCCGUGCCUCGCCUGCUCCUCGGUCCUCCGUGCCCGCGUCCCCUGGCAUCCACCUCUCCUCCCUCACCUCUUCCCUAGCCCCCUCCGUGAACCCUCAAUAAAACCUCCUUCCCUCUGAGUGUUGCGUUUGGGUCCUUUCUGUCCCGUCUCCUAACAACUAACUAUGAAUAUAACAGACAUUUUCUCAUUUCACUUUAUUUUUCAUCAUUUUCUCAACAGCAGCAGCUGGAAAAACUAUUCUCUGGUUAUAAAGAAGAUCACAGUCGAGGAUGUUGGUCGUUAUUACUGUCAACAGUACCAAUCAGGACAAAAACAAGCUCUAGACUCUCAGGUUCAUCUGUCUGUUAUUAACAUGACUGAACGUAAGGACAAUGAUGAGGUGACAUUAACCUGCUCUGUGUUGACACAUAGACAAUGUAGGCUCACGACCACAGUGAAGUGGCUGUAUGUGGGUAAAUAUAACCAAGCUGUGAUGACAUCAGUCUUCAGAGUGAGAAAAGACACGCAGGUUCAUAACAUCACUGUGUUAUGUUGUUUGGGAUUUUCCGAUGUCUGUUGUUUCAUCAGUAAAGGGUUAAAUGUUUUGAAA